rnacentral:rRNA from 1 species
AGAGUUUGAUCAUGGCUCAGAUUGAACGCUGACGGCAUGCCUUACACAUGCAAGUCGAACGGCAGCAUGAUCUAGCUUGCUAGAUUGAUGGCGAGUGGCGAACGGGUGAGUAAUACAUCGGAACGUGCCCUGUAGUGGGGGAUAACUAGUCGAAAGAUUAGCUAAUACCGCAUACGACCUGAGGGUGAAAGUGGGGGACCGCAAGGCCUCAUGCUAUAGGAGCGGCCGAUGUCUGAUUAGCUAGUUGGUGAGGUAAAGGCUCACCAAGGCGACGAUCAGUAGCUGGUCUGAGAGGACGAUCAGCCACACUGGGACUGAGACACGGCCCAGACUCCUACGGGAGGCAGCAGUGGGGAAUUUUGGACAAUGGGGGCAACCCUGAUCCAGCAAUGUCGCGUGUGUGAAGAAGGCCUUCGGGUUGUAAAGCACUUUUGUCCGGAAAGAAAUCGCACUUACUAAUAUUAGGUGUGGAUGACGGUACCGGAAGAAUAAGGACCGGCUAACUACGUGCCAGCAGCCGCGGUAAUACGUAGGGUCCAAGCGUUAAUCGGAAUUACUGGGCGUAAAGCGUGCGCAGGCGGUUGUGCAAGACCGAUGUGAAAUCCCCGGGCUUAACCUGGGAAUUGCAUUGGUGACUGCACGGCUAGAGUGUGUCAGAGGGGGGUAGAAUUCCACGUGUAGCAGUGAAAUGCGUAGAGAUGUGGAGGAAUACCGAUGGCGAAGGCAGCCCCCUGGGAUAACACUGACGCUCAUGCACGAAAGCGUGGGGAGCAAACAGGAUUAGAUACCCCCGUAGUCC